UACGUAGGGUGCAAGCGUUAAUCGGAAUUACUGGGCGUAAAGCGUGCGCAGGCGGUUUUUGUAAGUCUGUCGUGAAAUCCCCCGGGCUCAACCUGGGAAUUGCGAUGGAGACUGCAAGGCUAGAAUCUGGCAGAGGGGGGGUAGAAUUCCACGUGUAGCAGUGAAAUGCGUAGAGAUGUGGAGGAACACCGAUGGCGAAGGCAGCCCCCCUGGGUCAAGAUUGACGCUCAUGCACGAAAGCGUGGGGAGCAAACAGG
rnacentral:rRNA from 1 species